GGAUUAGAUACCCUGGUAGUCCAUGCCGUAAACGAUGAUUACUAGGUGUUGGAGGAUUGACCCCUUCAGUGCCGCAGUUAACACAAUAAGUAAUCCACCUGGGGAGUACGACCGCAAGGUUGAAACUCAAAGGAAUUGACGGGGGCCCGCACAAGCAGUGGAGUAUGUGGUUUAAUUCGAAGCAACGCGAAGAACCUUACCAGGUCUUGACAUCCGAUGCAUAGUGCAGAGAUGCAUGAAGUCCUUCGGGACAUCGAGACAGGUGGUGCAUGGUUGUCGUCAGCUCGUGCCG
rnacentral:rRNA from 1 species